rnacentral:lncRNA from 1 species
GGACCAAGUCAUCCUUCGUGAACGCCUAACCUGAAACUUAACAACAAUAAAUACACAAUAGAGAUGACAGGAUUCCUGAAGGGCUCUGAAGUUAACUGAAGGUUACGGUUACAGAGUGCACCACGAGUUAUGGUGAAUUUCUAUGAGAAAGAAACAAUAUAGGCAGAAUUAUAUUAUGUGGUCGAUUUGUGAUUUUGUACAAACAAUUUGUAAAUCUCACUCACACACUCCUAUAGGAGUAUAGACAUAUAAAGGGAAUAGCUUAAAGAACGUUCGGAAAAUGACGGGAAUGGGCGAAAGAAAUUUUUUAUAACGCGUUGUGAAAUAAAAAUUAUAUGUAUUAAAAAUAAUCGUGAUAAUAAUUUUGUGUCAAGUAAUAAUCUAAUGUGGGUCGACAUAAUGUAACAAUAAUAUAUUCGAUACUUUAAUUAUAAUUUAUUAUUAUAUUAAUAAUUAAUUUAUAUUAUUUGUAAAUAUAUUAAAAAUAUAGGCAUCUCUUUAAUAUAUUCACAAAUAAUAAAAAUUUACCAUUCAUAUAAAUUAAUUGCUUAAAUUUAAAUUACGUAUUUAUUAUUAUUUAUCAAUUUAUUAUGUAUUGAAUAUAUUGUUAUAUUUUUAACAUUACACUAUUAUGUCAUAAAGUUGUAUGGCAUAUUACUUAUAUUGCUCAAAUUGGAGUGAAAUAUCAAAAGUAAAUUAUUAUCACGAUUAAAUAAAUUAUAUUAGAAAUUAAAGAAUUUUAUCUUCAAUAGAGAAUACAACUUAUUUAAGAUUUUAUGCUCGUAUGCUAAUGUGUGUCAAACUGCACGCGUGCUGUUAAAAUAUAUUAAAAUACAUCUAUAAUACAUAUAUAUACAGAUAUAUAUUAUACAACAAAUACAUGUAUAAAAAUAUAACAUAAUAUAAUAAGUUGUUCGCAAUAAAUAAAUGAAAAAUGAUAAUUUAUAAAUUGUUGAUUUUGAGGAGUCAUAGUCGAAAUAGAAUUCUAAAAUUUAGAGAGAAAUACAAUUAUUAUUCAUAUGAUUAUAAUAUUUAAUGUGCUGAUUAAAUCUUUAAUUUAUUAUUUUACAAUGUAAAUUAUGGUCAGUGAAAUUAAUUAAUACUAGUAAUUAAUAUAAUUUUAGUUUUAGAUUAAUAAGUUUAUUUAUUUUUUAUUAAUAAAAUAUUCACACAUAUAAACAUUACAUUCUUCAGCAUUUUUAGACUAAGCCUAAAAUUAGUGUGCUUUAAUUUUUUUAUACACAAUUGCAAAGCAAUACCUAUGUAUAUUUUGUCAUUGUUAUUACAUCCAUUGGGCACUAUUUUUCCUAUACAAAAACUCAUGAAACCGCAGAAUUGUAACUGCUUUCUGUUCACUUAUUAUAAAUAAUAGGCUUAAAAUAAUGUAUAACUUUUAAUAAAAUAUAUAUGUAAUAGUCACAAUUUAAAAGAUUUGUUGUGAUGAUCUAAAUCAAAAUGGAUAUUACAAUUAUUUUUUUGUAUCACUACUGGAUACAUAUAUAAUAAUAAAGAAAUUAUGUUCGACAUUAUUGACAUCAUAAAUUUCACAAUAUAUGUUUAGAAGUAGAUAAUCAAUUGAUAGAACGACGUAAAUAAUUAGUAAGAAGAUCCAUUUUUAUUUGGAUGACCACAAACCUUAUUUUAGUGUUCGAAACCGCCCAAUGAUAUGACUCGCAAGUAAGGCAAAACUAAUCAAAAGGCAAUUGUGUGAAAUUGUUGGAAACGCGUAUAUAUUUACACCUUACCAUACCGUUGUAGGCGGUAUCGAUUCUUCCGUCCCAUGCCUGAACUAUUUAAAAAUUCAUUGAUAGUUGUUGUCCAUACCGAUCCGAACCGAUGUACCAAAAUAGAAAAUUGCCUAAUCAAUAAUUUUACAACACAUGUUUCGAAUAUAUUUCGAAAUUCGAAAUUUUCAAUUGUGAUUUUUAAAAAUAGAAUCGCUUGUAUCCCGUGUGAGUGCUGACUAAAAGAUAACUGUUAUUUGCUUAUAAAAAAGUAUGUGUGUUUAUGGUUGUUAUUUUUUUCUUUUUAUAAAGGUAAUUGCAGAUUUUAAAGGCUUGUGAAUAUUGCAUAAAUGCUAGAUUAAUAUUAUUAGCGGUGCCGUAUUACUUAAAAUUGUACAGACAUUAUUGUUUGAUUUAAUUUUGCUAAUUUGGUUUAUUUGAACUUAGGACAAUUGAUAUAAGUUUCAAGUUUUGUACAUACUUAAUUGGUAAAUUGAACAAAUAUUUCAAAAUAACUCUUAUUAUAAUUAUUUGAUUUCGUUACAAAUAAAUAUUUACGUUUAUUUAUAUUACUAAAGAAAUUAUUAUUGUCAAAGAGAAUAAAAAUACUAAAAUAUUUAAUAACCUCUUAGACUGUGAGUUUAACAUUUAGCUAGAUAUUGCUAAAAUCUACGCACAUAAUUAGAAUUAAAAUUAAAAACAAAAAUUAUAGUUAUUUAAGGAAAAAAAUGCAAGCCCAAUCAUUGUUUUUUUAUUAUUAGUUUGUAGAUAUGAAUUUUAAAUUGUAUAUAAUGAACAUUACAUUACAUUGUGGUAAUCAACAUUAACGAAGUAUGUGAAAAGGGGGAAAAAUAUCACUUUUAUGAUAAACUGUCGUUUUUGUCUCAGUUUUCUUCUUUAAUUUCUAAUAACAUAAUUAUAUUAGUAUCUGUGUCAAUAUAAAAACAAUUGUUUUACAAAAAUAUAUGCAAACAUACAACCAGAAGUAUUCUUUUUAUAUUAUACAUCAUUACAAAGAAACUAUAUAAUAUGGUGUCGUAUAUACAGUAUGACGUCGAUUAUCAAUGUAGGAAGAUAGAAUCGAGAUUUUUGAAAUAAACAAACAAAUGCAAGGUAGUAGAUAUAUAGAAAAACUGGAACCAUUUUUUAAUAUGGGUAGGUUUUGUGCGACAUCAAAAAAUCCAUUAAUUUAAUAUUUGAAUUAUAAGGUAAAACAGUUAUAAGACAUAAUACCGCAAGAAGUAUAAAUAUGAAUAUUACAUGUGAUGACGCCGUUAUAAUUGUGAGUACACGUGUAUAAAAUAAAACAAAAAUAUAAUAAUCACUAAUGUAUAAAUUAUUCCGAUUUAUUAAUAAACAAGUAACAAUACAACAACACUAAUAUACACUAAAUAUAACACAGUACACAAAAAACUUCUCAAUAGUGUUGUCCUAAGUUUUGAUUUUAUUUCGAUGUUUGAUGUGCUUUUAGAUAUAACUUUUAUUAUUUAUUUUGUCGAGAAGAGAUUUACAGUAUUAUUAUUUGUGUAUUAUUUAUUUAAACCAUAAUUUGUAUUUUAAUAAUACUAAUAUUAUUUUCACAAAUACACUAUUUAGUGUUGAAUUUAUCGUAACUAUUCGGACGAUUAAUUAGGAUAAUUAAUUCAAAAAUAUCUAUAAUAGCUUUAGUGUUAAGUGAAAAAGCAAUUCAUUAAUAUAUCAUCGUAAUUUAAUGUCAAAUUAUUUUUUCUAGAUGUUAACUGAAAUUUUUCUUUAUCCCAGUAAACGUCUGAAUUUUGGUUGUGUAAAUUAGAGUUUUAGUGUAAUAAAAAUCAUUCUCAGAAAUGUCGCUGCGAUAAACAUGUUGUAAUUAUAACGCUUAUAAUAUUGAUGCCGCACUCAAUAUUAUUAUAUUCAUUAAAUAAUAAUAAAAAUUAGUUAGAUUUCAUUUUUCGUGUGUAAAACAAGUACGGUCGUAGAUUUAAAAUCUGAAAUAAGACCAUUACAACAUUUCAAAUUCAAUAAUGUAAUAAAUGCCAAAUGUUCUAUUACCCACGCCCAUGUUCUAAUUAUCACUGGUAAUACUUAUAAUACAUACUUAUAUAAUAUAAUAUAUUGAGAGUGAUGAAAAAAAGAACUAAAUAAAUAUAAAUAAAUAAAGAAUUCUACAACAGAAAAAUAUUAUUAUAAAAUAAAGGGGAAAUAAUUGAAAAAAUUAAGAAGCACAUUAAGAAAAAAGAAAUAGAAAAUGCAUUACUUAAUUUAAAAAAAUGCAAUUUCACUGGUAUAUUGUAAUUUUUUCUUUGGAUUGAUAGGCAUCGAAAACAAGUAGUACAGAGUGAGGAGAAAUAUUCGUUUCUUAUACUUAAAUUAAAAAUAGCAAAGAGCGAAACAGCAUUAUUACGAAUAAACAUCCCUUAAUUAUAAUUAGUAGAAAAAAAAACGAUUUUCUGCUAAUUGCUACAUGUUAAUAUUAUUAAACAAAAUUAAAAGGGAGAAUAAUCUGUGAUUAAAUUUAUACAGAGUGAAACUAAAGUCAUUAGUAUCCUUUUAAGAUAGUGAUUUAUCAGUAAAACUGAACAUUUUCUGCGAGGAGUUGAAAAAUAAAAGAAAAUUCGGAAAUCUCCCAGCACAACAGAUAAAUGCGUCGUGUUGGAGUUUCUCAAUUUUUCUCGUUUAUUAAUCAUAUACAUCUUUGAGUGAAACUUCUUAGGAUAGUAAUGAUUUAGAUUUCAGCCUAUAUACCUAUGUAUGGACUAAACUGGAAAUAUGUAAAGAGGACUAAAUAAUGGGUAUGUAAAAAUCGAUUAUCAAUAUGUUAGAAAUACAGUAUCGGUCUAUGUUAUGGCCACUUACAAAGACGAAACAUAAAAAAAAGAUCAUUAUAAUAUAUUGACGUUUAUGAAUAAUUUAUUUGAUAUUUAUUGUUAUAAAAUAUAUUAUAUAUUUAUAAAUAGCGUCAAAGUUAUUGAUCGUGCUACUUAUUAUAUAUAAUUUUUAAUUAAUAUCAAAAAUUUAUAAAUAAAGUAACACAAAUGAACUGAAAUUGACGAUUUAGCAAUGUAAUUUUGUUACAAAGUUAUUUGUAUAAGUAUAACGUUUCGCUUUUUUAAUUAGAACAUCAACUUAAACUAGACCUGAUUGAGCAAUUUCAUAGUAGUUUAUGAUCUUGGAAAAGUUGUAGAUAAAAAAUUCAUUGUAAAAACGAAUUGGUUAAUAUUUUUAUAAGGCAUCAUCAAAAUGCCACUAAAUCAAAAAGUUCGUAUUGUAAAUCCAUUGAAGGUGUAACCUUUGUCUCGAAGCUAUGAUUUUAAAUUUACACGCGUAUUUGUAAAUGGUUUAGUGGUAAGAAUGAUAACCUUUAUUAAGGAUUUGUUCCGGUUACACACGUGCAAUACACAUACACAUAAUUGAAUAUAAAUUGGGAAAUUGGUGUAUUAUUAUAAGUACAUGCCUUUGAAUAACUGCAAUAUCAAAAUUAAAGUGUAAGGACUUUAAUUUUUUACUUUAAACCUAUCUAUAGAUAAUUCGAAAUUCAAUCUUCAAAAAUUGAAUUAGGUGCCUAUAAAACGCUCAAUAUAACUAAAUACAUUCUUGGUUUAUCAAUUGUAGAUGUAGUUAUAACAACCGAUAUAUGCGUUUCAUGGAAAAAAUGUAGUACCGAAAAGCGUGAGGUAUUUAAUCCGCCCAUUUAAUCUAUCUCUACCUGUCUUACUCCACUUGUAGGAAUCAUACAUAAUUAUUGUCAUCUCACAGUUUUCACCAUUCUUAAAAUGUACAUAAUAUACAUCUUUAAGCUUAUCUGUUCUCACGGCCAUGAACUUAUAAUGUUAAUUUUAUAUUACUAUCACAAUUUAAAGUCUAAUGUUUAUUAAUAUUUACAAAGACAAUUGUGAUUAUAUCUAUUAAUUAAUAUAAACAUAACUAACAUAAAUAUAAUACGUACAUAUUAGUUGUGUAUUACAUUUAUAUUAUUUAUGUAUUCCGUUUAUAAUAAUUGUGUACUGUUUCAUUAUUCAUAAAUUAUGUAUUGUUUACAAUUCACCACGUGUGUAACAGGCUUAAUAUUUAAAAUGUACCGCAGUUUCAUGCUAUGAACUAACAAUGCGAAAUGUUUAUAACAAUUCAGUGAUCGUUGUAAUGCGUUUUCAUUUCGAACUGUUGCCUUAUGACUGUUUUGUACAUAAAAAUAAAUAAAAAAGUUAGUAGGAAUAAAAUACACUUAUUGGCUUCGAA